rnacentral:rRNA from 1 species
UAACCUGGUUGAUCCUGCCAGUUAGUCAUAUGCUUGUCUCAAAGAUUAAGCCAUGCAUGUCUAAGAAUAAGCCUUUGUACGGCGAAUCUGCGAAUGGCUCAUUAAAACAGUUAUAGUUUAUUUGAUAAUCAAUUACUACAUGGAUAACUGUAGUAAUUCUAGAGCUAAUACAUGCGUCAGAACCCGACUUCAC